rnacentral:rRNA from 1 species
GGCGACGAAUGUCGACUAGCCGUUGGGGUCCUCGAGACCUUUGUGGCGCAGUUAACGCACUAAGUCGACCGCCUGGGGAGUACGGCCGCAAGGUUAAAACUCAAAUGAAUUGACGGGGGCCCGCACAAGCGGUGGAGCAUGUGGUUUAAUUCGAUGCAACGCGAAGAACCUUACCUACCCUUGACAUCGUGCGAACUUUCCAGAGAUGGAUUGGUGCCUUCGGGAGCGCACAGACAGGUGCUGCAUGGCUGUCGUCAGCUCGUGUUGUGAAAUGUUGGGUUAAGUCCCGUAACGAGCGCAACCCUUGUCCCUAUUUGCCAGCGAUUCGGUCGGGAACUCUAGGGAGACUGCCGGUGACAAACCGGAGGAAGGUGGGGACGACGUCAAGUCAUCAUGGCCCUUACGGGUAGGGCUACACACGUGCUACAAUGGCCGGUACAAUGGGUUGCAAAGCGGCGACGUGGAGCUAAUCUCAUAAAGCCGGUCUCAGUCCGGAUCGGAGUCUGCAACUCGACUCCGUGAAGUCGGAAUCGCUAGUAAUCGUGCAUCAGAAUGGCACGGUGAAUACGUUCCCGGGCCUUGUACACACCGCCCGUCACACCAUGGGAGUGGACUGCACCAGAAGUGGUUAGCCUAACUUCGGAGGGCGAUCACCACGGUGUGGUUCAUGACUGGGGUGAAGUCUCAAAGGGGGAACCAAAACGGUUUUGGGGGAGGGGGUGGC